AUUGAACGCUGGCGGCAGGCCUAACACAUGCAAGUCGAGCGAGCGGCGGACGGGUGAGUAAUGUCUGGGAAACUGCCUGAUGGAGGGGGAUAAAUACUGGAAACGGUAGCUAAUACCGCAUAACAUCAGAUGUGCCCAGAUGGGAUUAGAUAGUAGGGGGGGUAACGGCUCACCUAGGCGACGGUCCCUAGCUGGUCUGAGAGGAUGACCAGCCACACUGUAACUGAGACACGGUCCAGACUCCUACGGGAGUCAGCAGUGGGGAAUUUUGCACAAUGGGCGCAAGCCUGAUGCAGCCAUGCCGCGUGUGUGAAGAAGGCCUUCGGGUUGUAAAGUACUUUCAGCGGGGAGGCGUUACCCGCAGAAGAAGCACCGGCUAACUCCGUGCCAGCCGCCGCGGUAAUUC
rnacentral:rRNA from 1 species